GCCUAAUACAUGCAAGUCGAACGAAAAAUAUAUAGGUGCUUGCAUUUAUAUAUUUUUAGUGGCGAACGGGUGAGUAAUAUAUAGAUAACCUGCCUUAAAGUUGGGGAUAACAGAGGGAAACCUCUGCUAAUACCGAAUACGAUAACUAGACGCAUGUUUAGUUAUUAAAAGGGGCUCCAAAGCCCCGCUCUAAGAGGGGUCUAUAUCGCAUUAGCUAGUUGGUAAGAUAACAGCCUACCAAGGCGAUGAUGCGUAGCUGUACUGAGAGGUAGAACAGCCACAUUGGGACUGAGAUACGGCCCAAACUCCUACGGGAGGCAGCAGUAGGGAAUUUUCGGCAAUGGGGGGAACCCUGACCGAGCAAUGCCGCGUGAUUGAAGAAGAUCUUCGGAUCGUAAAGAUCUGUUAUUAGGGAAGAAUGGAAUUGAUAGGAAAUGAUCAAUUUAUGACGGUGCCUAAUGAGGAAGCCCCGGCUAACUAUGUGCCAGCAGCCGCGGUAAUACAUAGGGGGCGAGCGUUAUCCGGAAUUAUUGGGCGUAAAGGGUACGUAGGCGGGCCUGCAAGUCUGAUUUGAAAGCACACGGCUUAACCGUGUGAGGUAAUUAGAAACUACAGGUCUAGAGAGUGGUAGAGGUAAAUGGAAUUCCAAGUGGAGCGGUGAAAUGCGUAGAGAUUUGGAGGAACACCAGUGGCGAAGGCGGUUUACUGGGCCACAUCUGACGCUGAUGUACGAAAGCGUGGGGAGCAAACAGGAUUAGAUACCCUGGUAGUCCACGCUGUAAACGAUGAGUGCUAGGUGUUGGGGGUCAAACCUCGGUGCCGCAGUUAACGCAUUAAGCACUCCGCCUGGGGAGUACGUCCGCAAGAAUAAAACUCAAAGGAAUUGACGGGGACCCGCACAAGCAGCGGAGCAUGUGGUUUAAUUCGAAGCAACGCGAAGAACCUUACCUGGAUUUGACAUCCCUCUGACCGUCUCUUAAUCGAGAUUUUCCCUUCGGGGACAGAGGAGACAGGUGGUGCAUGGUUGUCGUCAGCUCGUGUCGUGAGAUGUUGGGUUAAGUCCCGCAACGAGCGCAACCCUUGUCUUUAGUUGCCAUCAAGUAAAGUUGGGCACUCUAAAGAGACUGCCAAGGUAAACUUGGAGGAAGGUGGGGAUGACGUCAAAUCAUCAUGCCCCUUAUGUCUAGGGCUACACACGUGCUACAAUGGUCGGUACAAUAAGACGCAAGCCCGCGAGGGGGAGCAAAACUGGAAAACCGAUCUCAGUUCGGAUUGUAGGCUGAAACUCGCCUACAUGAAGCUGGAGUUGCUAGUAAUCGCGAAUCAGCAUGUCGCGGUGAAUACGUUCCCGGGCCUUGCACACACCGCCCGUCA
rnacentral:rRNA from 1 species